AUGUCCAAUGAUGACAGUGAUCAAUAAGCCAAGGAUUAUGAUUUAUCCAGUUCUGUGUAUCUCAGGUCCAUU
rnacentral:snoRNA from 1 species